GAGUACUCAAAUAACACUAUGGAGAACAGUAAUGCUAAGCUCAACAAUGUUUGUAUUAUAGUGCACAACAAACGAACCCUAAUUUACACCACAAAUAAAAAUAUACCGACAAAUCAACUGAGGCACCGAGCAUACGUUCAAUGGACGACAUGCGUGAAACAUCAAUUUAAGGAAAGAUAAAAAAAAGCAACAUGCCACAUACAUUGUUUUUAUUUUCUUG
rnacentral:lncRNA from 1 species